AGUGAACGCUGGCGGCGUGCUUAACACAUGCAAGUCGAACGAGAACGGAUUAUAGCUUGCUAUAAUUGUCAGCUAAGUGGCGCACGGGUGAGUAAUGUAUAGGUAAUAUGCCUCUUACUAAGGGAUAACAAAUGGAAACGUUUGCUAAUACCUUAUACUCCUUAUUAACAGAAGUUAAUAAGGGAAAGAUUUAUUGGUAAGAGAUUAGCCUGUAUUGUAUCAGUUAGUUGGUGGGGUAAUGGCUUACCAAGACUAUGACACAUAACUGGUUUGAGAGGAGGAUCAGUCACACUGGAACUGAGACACGGUCCAGACUCCUACGGGAGGCAGCAGUGGGGAAUAUUGCACAAUGGACGAAAGUCUGAUGCAGCAACGCCGCGUGGAGGAUGACACAUUUCGGUGCGUAAACUCCUCUUAUAUGAGAAGAUAAUGACGGUAUUAUAUGAAUAAGCACCGGCUAACUCCGUGCCAGCCGCCGCCGCGG
rnacentral:rRNA from 1 species